GUGAAGAGUGAGGAGGGGGAGUGUGGGGGUUUUUUUUUUUUUUGAACAAAAACAAACCGAAAGGGCGACUGGGAGUCGUAGUCCCGGCUGCCUCUCUGGCCUCCCCCGCUCCGGAAGAAUAUGGCUGAAUGAAACUCUUGGACCACACUUCCCAGCGUGCCCCGCGGCCCGUCUUUUCCGCCCUCCCCUCCCUUCCUCUGCCCCGCGCAGAGCUCGAUCACAGGCUCUGGGAGGCCAGGCACCCUGUCGUGAGGACACUCAAGCAGCCAUAUGGAGAGGUGACAUCUACACGGCCAGUAGCCCCAGACAAGCUUUCAAAUGACUUCAGCCCUGGCUAACAUCUUGAGAGAUCAACCUCAUAAGAGAACCAGAGCCAGAAUCACCCAAAUAUGCUGCUCCUGGGAACUGUCUCCACACAAGCUCUAGGGGAGCAGGGAUUUUUUUCCUGUUGUGUUCAAAACAGUACUUACUACUGAAUACGUUACUGAAUCCUCCACAGAGCUCCACAAGAAUGGGCCAGCCCUGGGAGCAGGAGCUUCAUCCUGGACCCCAAGGACUAGAGCGAUGCCCACAACAUAGUAGGUACUCAAAAAAAUGAAGAAAGGAAUCUGGUGCUAAAGCCCUGGCUCUUCUCACUGCCCCAGGACAACCAAGCAAAGACAGAUCCCUGCGUUGAACACACCCCUCACGGAAAUCUGCGCCCCCCCGCCCCCAAGCACGCUCUGAGCACCAGAUCUGAGCCACUGAUCACUUUGAAUUGUACAUAUUUGUGAAUGACGAUACCUCCCUACCAGAAUGGGAGCUCCGGAAGCCGUGAGCCAUAUGUAGCCCAUGACAUGUGGCACAGAGUUUGAAUAGCAUUAUGUAAAUCUUUUGU